GGGGCAGUCGUCUAAUGGAUAGGACAUCUUACAUACUAAGUAGCUUGUGCUACUUACAAAAUUAAAAAUGUAUCUGAGUUUCGUUCAGGGAAUCUGGGUUCGAAUCCCAGCUGCCUCA
rnacentral:tRNA from 1 species